GAUUGGUGUUGGGAAAAGAAUAGGGAACAUAAGAAUUGGGGGGGGGGGAUGAUGGAAACCUGGAGAGAGUCCAGAGAUGUCAGCAUGGAGAAAAGGGGAAAGGAAGCCAGAUUGUCAGCCAGCCAGCCAUUUCCAGUCUUCAGCCUGAAGCCAGCACCCCCACCAGUCCACCACCAUUGUCUUCUUCUGGGCUGUCUCCCUGGCCCCACACCAAGCAGCAACAUCUCCCAGGACAAAGGACACCAAGACACUGGCUCUGCUGUCCAGGUUCACCAACUUCCUGGUGCUCCAUCUUCUCUCCCCUCACACGGACUACAGUAAGACUCUUCAGACACAACAACGCACUGUGAUUCAGACUUUAAUGGUGGUGCUCAUUUCCACGCCACAGAGGGGG